GGGAGCAUAGCUCAGAUGGUAAAGCGCUCGCUUAGAAUGCGAGAGGCACGGGGCUUGAUACACCGCGCCUCCA